GAUGAACGCUGGCGGCGUGCCUAAUACAUGCAAGUCGAGCGAAUGGAUUAAGAGCUUGCUCUUAUGAAGUUAGCGGCGGACGGGUGAGUAACACGUGGGUAACCUGCCCAUAAGACUGGGAUAACUCCGGGAAACCGGGGCUAGUACCGGAUAACAUUUUGAACCGCAUGGUUCGAAAUUGAAAGGCGUCUUCGGCUGUCACUUAUGAAUGGACCCGCGUCGCAUUAGCUAGUUGGUGAGGUAACGGCUCACCAAGGCAACGAUGCGUAGCCGACCUGAGAGGGUGAUCGGCCACACUGGGACUGAGACACGGCCCAGACUCCUACGGGAGGCAGCAGUAGGGAAUCUUCCGCAAUGGACGAAAGUCUGACGGAGCAACGCCGCGUGAGUGAUGAAGGCUUUCGGGUCGUAAAACUCUGUUGUUAGGGAAGAACAAGUGCUAGUUGAAUAAGCUGGCACCUUGACGGUACCUAACCAGAAAGCCACGGCUAACUACGUGCCAGCAGCCGCCGUAA
rnacentral:rRNA from 1 species